UGCAAGUCGAACGAUGAUGCCCAGCUUGCUGGGCGGAUUAGUGGCGAACGGGUGAGUAAUACGUGAGUAACCUGCCCUUGACUCUGGGAUAAGCCUGGGAAACUGGGUCUAAUACUGGAUACUACCUCUUACCGCAUGGUGGGUGGUGGAAAGGGUUUUACUGGUUUUGGAUGGGCUCACGGCCUAUCAGCUUGUUGGUGGGGUAAUGGCUCACCAAGGCGACGACGGGUAGCCGGCCUGAGAGGGUGACCGGCCACACUGGGACUGAGACACGGCCCAGACUCCUACGGGAGGCAGCAGUGGGGAAUAUUGCACAAUGGGCGGAAGCCUGAUGCAGCGACGCCGCGUGAGGGAUGACGGCCUUCGGGUUGUAAACCUCUUUCAGUAGGGAAGAAGCGAGAGUGACGGUACCUGCAGAAGAAGCGCCGGCUAACUACGUGCCAGCAGCCGCGGUAAUACGUAGGGCGCAAGCGUUGUCCGGAAUUAUUGGGCGUAAAGAGCUCGUAGGCGGUUUGUCGCGUCUGCUGUGAAAGCCCGGGGCUCAACCCCGGGUCUGCAGUGGGUACGGGCAGACUAGAGUGCAGUAGGGGAGACUGGAAUUCCUGGUGUAGCGGUGAAAUGCGCAGAUAUCAGGAGGAACACCGAUGGCGAAGGCAGGUCUCUGGGCUGUUACUGACGCUGAGGAGCGAAAGCAUGGGGAGCGAACAGGAUUAGAUACCCUGGUAGUCCAUGCCGUAAACGUUGGGCACUAGGUGUGGGGGACAUUCCACGUUUUCCGCGCCGUAGCUAACGCAUUAAGUGCCCCGCCUGGGGAGUACGGCCGCAAGGCUAAAACUCAAAGGAAUUGACGGGGGCCCGCACAAGCGGCGGAGCAUGCGGAUUAAUUCGAUGCAACGCGAAGAACCUUACCAAGGCUUGACAUUCACCGGACCGCCCCAGAGAUGGGGUUUCCCUUCGGGGCUGGUGGACAGGUGGUGCAUGGUUGUCGUCAGCUCGUGUCGUGAGAUGUUGGGUUAAGUCCCGCAACGAGCGCAACCCUCGUUCUAUGUUGCCAGCACGUGAUGGUGGGGACUCAUAGGAGACUGCCGGGGUCAACUCGGAGGAAGGUGGGGAUGACGUCAAAUCAUCAUGCCCCUUAUGUCUUGGGCUUCACGCAUGCUACAAUGGCCGGUACAAAGGGUUGCGAUACUGUGAGGUGGAGCUAAUCCCAAAAAGCCGGUCUCAGUUCGGAUUGAGGUCUGCAACUCGACCUCAUGAAGUCGGAGUCGCUAGUAAUCGCAGAUCAGCAACGCUGCGGUGAAUACGUUCCCGGGCCUUGUACACACCGCCCGUCAAGUCACGAAAGUUGGUAACACCCGAAGCCGGUGGCCUAACCCCUUGUGGGAGGGAGCCGUCGAAGGUGA
rnacentral:rRNA from 1 species